CACACAGAGGGAACACACACACGCAGCCGACUGUUAUCAACAUUGAACAGAGCAGAGCACCACACCGGUGACGUCUGACGACAUUGGUGACCCCGACCGCUGAUCUGACCAAAGACACCAGAAAAUAUCACACCCUGAAGACACCAGAAAAUAUUAGUAUACAGUGAAGAAAUCCCCAAGCAUCAAGAAAAGAAAAAUGAAGUGCUGCAUAAGUAAGAGACUGGUCAAAUACACCUCUGUCUACCAUAUAUGAACAAUUAAGUUAACAAUCAGCUAAAAACAACUUGCUGGACCAGGAUAAACUGUCAUUUAAUUUCAACUUGGUUACUGGGUAAAAACAACUAUAAUAUCGUUGUACUGUUGUAUUAUUGCUGUACAACAUUUACAAUGUGCAUAACCUUGCUAAACUGUUGAACCAACUCACAGGUAAAACUCAACAAAGGAAUGGCAGCAAACAACAUGAAGG